rnacentral:lncRNA from 1 species
GUCACAUCAAAUCUUGCGGCAUAUGUAUGCAGCAUUAAAAAUAGAUAAAAACAAAAACUAAUUGCACAAGUUUAGCUGUAAAUUAUGAUACGAAUCUUUUAAAUUUAGUUAAUUAGAUAAUAUUUGUCAAAUAAAAAUGAAAAUGCUACGAUGUUAAAUCCAAAAUCUUUUUGGCUAAACAAGGCCUAAACCGCUCCUCACGAAAUUCUUUCCUUGUCUCCUUCGAAAAAAAAAAAUCACCUUUCCCCGAGAAUGUCGAUGGACCCCAGCAAGGAAACCCCACCUGCCAAGUGCCAUGGCAAUGGACCAAGGUGAGUGCAUGAGCAGGCAGCAGCCCGGCACACCACUGGCCCUCCCGCUUCCCCGCCUAUAAGUAGUGCACGAGCUCCACACCGAUCCCCACACAUCCUCACUCGCCAGCAGCCGCCUCGCCACAGAACCCCACC